rnacentral:rRNA from 1 species
UUCCCAGACUCCUACGGGAGGCAGCAGUGGGGAAUAUUGCACAAUGGGGGAAACCCUGAUGCAGCGACGCCGCGUGAGUGAAGAAGUAUUUCGGUAUGUAAAGCUCUAUCAGCAGGGAAGAAAAUGACGGUACCUGACUAAGAAGCCCCGGCUAACUACGUGCCAGCAGCCGCGGUAAUACGUAGGGGGCAAGCGUUAUCCGGAUUUACUGGGUGUAAAGGGGGCGCAGACGGCGAUGCAAGCCAGGAGUGAAAGCCCGGGGCCCAACCCCGGGACUGCUCUUGGAACUGCGUGGCUGGAGUGCAGGAGGGGCAGGCGGAAUUCCUGGUGUAGCGGUGAAAUGCGUAGAUAUUAGGAGGAACACCAGUGGCGAAGGCGGCUUACUGGACAGUAACUGACGUUGAGGCUCGAAAGCGUGGGGAGCAAACAGGAUUAGAUACCCGGGUA